rnacentral:rRNA from 1 species
AUUGAACGCUGGCGGCGUGCCUAACACAUGCAAGUCGAGCGGUAACAGGUGUAGCAAUACAUGCUGACGAGCGGCGAACGGGUGAGUAAUGCUUCGGAAUCUGCCCAUGUAGUGGGGAAUAACCAGCCGAAAGGUUGGCUAAUACCGCAUACGACCCUUGUCCACAAGGCAAAGGUGAAAGCAGGGGAUCGCAAGACCUUGCGCUAUUGGAUGAGCCGAAGUCGGAUUAGCUAGUUGGUAGGGUAACGGCCUACCAAGGCGACGAUCCGUAGCUGGUCUGAGAGGACGACCA